rnacentral:lncRNA from 1 species
AUCAAAAAUAAUAACAAAAAGACAGGAAAUAAAAUGCAGCUAGCGAUGAGGCCAUGAGCUGCAGAGAAAUGUUAAAUUAAUUAGGCAGCGUAGAUAUGGAUAUUAAGAGCGAUGAGGGAGACUGUGAUGCAUGCAAAGAAGAUGAGAGUGUGAAUGACAAUGGCUGCGCCGCUUGUCUGAAAACCGCCAAACUCAACCACUUUGGUCUUCCCCGGAAGCUGAAACAAUACUCCGGGCGUCAAUACGAUGAACAGAACCACCGACAUUAACACCGGUCCCCAAUUCAACGCCAUCUCGAAUCAAUCAGGUUAUUGGUAUGUAUGUAAAUUUACGAGUUAUAUAUUGGUAGGAUAGCUAAUAUGAUGUGUCUGUUUCAAUACACUCAUGUUUGUACAUUUAUAGAAUGCUUGAGUCAAGAUUGAGAUCUUAAUGCAUCAGUGGCUUGAACCGGACGAUAUUAUGAAGUUUGUAGGGUGAAGGAAAGAACGAUUCUCUGCAGCUACUCGAUCGAAUCAAAACUUUAUAUUAUCAUCUUGUCACACUAUUUGUUGAUUGUUGGGUAUGCUAAGAAUCUGAUUCGAUCUCGUGGAUGGUCUCUCCCUCUUGUUUUUUUUUUUUAAGAAGAGACACUUGGCCUCUUCUCUUCUGAUACAAGAGACAUUUGGCCUUUGAGAAUUGAGGAGAUGCUGUCUUCAUCAAUGAAUUCAUAGUAGUAAAUUUCUAUAUAUACGCUACAGUAAUUUAAUUUCUAUAAAAUAGCGGUUACCCGACUUAUUUGAGUACACUAUCAAAUGGAUAAGUUGAUCGAAUAUUAAGGAAACGACAUUAUUC